AGAGUUUGAUCCUGGCUCAGAACGAACGCUGGCGGCAUGCCUAACACAUGCAAGUCGAACGAGACCUUCGGGUCUAGUGGCGCACGGGUGCGUAACGCGUGGGAAUCUGCCUUUGGGUUCGGAAUAACAGUGAGAAAUUACUGCUAAUACCGGAUGAUGUCCUUCGGACAAAGAUUUAUCGCCCAAAGAUGAGCCCGCGUAAGAUUAGCUAGUUGGUGAGGUAAAGGCUCACCAAGGCGACGAUCUUUAGCUGGUCUGAGAGGAUGAUCAGCCACACUGGGACUGAGACACGGCCCAGACUCCUACGGGAGGCAGCAGUGGGGAAUAUUGGACAAUGGGCGAAAGCCUGAUCCAGCAAUGCCGCGUGAGUGAUGAAGGCCUUAGGGUUGUAAAGCUCUUUUACCAGGGAUGAUAAUGACAGUACCUGGAGAAUAAGCUCCGGCUAACUCCGUGCCAGCAGCCGCGGUAAUACGGAGGGAGCUAGCGUUGUUCGGAAUUACUGGGCGUAAAGCGCACGUAGGCGGCUAUUCAAGUCAGAGGUGAAAGCCCGGGGCUCAACCCCGGAACUGCCUUUGAAACUAGAUAGCUUGAAUCUKGRRGAGGCGAGUGGAAUUCCGAGUGUAGAGGUGAAAUUCGUAGAUAUUCGGAAGAACACCAGUGGCGAAGGCGACUCGCUGGACAAGUAUUGCGCCUUGAGGUGCGAAAGCGUUGGGGAGCAAACAGGAUUAGAUACCCUGGUAGUCCACGCCGUAAACGAUGAUAACUAGCUGUCCGGGUUCAUGGAACUUGGGUGGCGCAGCUAACGCAUUAAGUUAUCCGCCUGGGGAGUACGGUCGCAAGAUUAAAACUCAAAGGAAUUGACGGGGSCCUGCACAAGCGGUGGAGCAUGUGGUUAAUUCGAAGCAACGCGCAGAACCUUACCAGCGUUUGACAUGGCUAGUAUAUUUUCCAGAGAUGGAUUAUUUCAGUUCGGCUGGCUAGCACACAGGUGCUGCAUGGCUGUCGUCAGCUCGUGUCGUGAGAUGUUGGGUUAAGUCCCGCAACGAGCGCAACCCUCGUCUUUAGUUGCCAUCAUUAAUGUGGGCACUCUAAAGAAACCGCCGGUGAUAAGCCGGAGGAAGGUGGGGAUGACGUCAAGUCCUCAUGGCCCUUACACGCUGGGCUACACACGUGCUACAAUGGCGGUGACAGUGGGCAGCAAGCACGCGAGUGCAAGCUAAUCUCCAAAAGCCGUCUCAGUUCGGAUUGUUCUCUGCAACUCGAGAGCAUGAAGGCGGAAUCGCUAGUAAUCGCGGAUCAGCAUGCCGCGGUGAAUACGUUCCCAGGCCUUGUACACACCGCCCGUCACACCAUGGGAGUUGGAUUCACCCGAAGGCGCUGCGCUAACCCGCAAGGGAGGCAGGCGACCACGGUGGGUUCAGCGACUGGGGUGAAGUCGUAACAAGGUAGCC
rnacentral:rRNA from 1 species